ensembl:lncRNA
UGGGGUCACUGGGAUGGAUGGGAUCAUUGGUUGAUGGGUGGGAUCGCUUGGAUGGUUGGGAUCAUUGGUGUGAUGGGUGGGCUCGCUGGUGGCACCAGUGGGGUCACUGAGGUGGUGGUGCUGAGAUGGAUGGGAUCAUUGAAUGAUAGGUGGGUCACUGGGAUGGAUGGGAUCACCGAAUGGUGGGUGGGAUUGCUGGGAUCACUGGGAUGGGUGGGAUCACUGGGAUGGGUGGGAUCAUUGGGAUGGAUUGGAACAUUGAAUGGUGGGUGGGACUGCUGGGAUCACUGGGAUGGGUGGGGUCACUGAACGAUGGGUGGGGUCACUGGAAUGGACAGCAUCAUUGGAUGAUGGGUGGGAUCGCUGGGAUGGAUGGGAUCACCGAAUGGUGGGUGGGAUCGCUGGGACGGAGGCGAUCAUUGAAUGAUGGGUGGGAUCACUGGGAUGGAUGGGAUCAUUCUAAUGGAUGGGAUCGUUGGGAUGGAUGGGAUCACGGAAUGGUUUGUGGGAUCGCUGGGAUCACUGGGAUGGGUGGGGUCACUGAACGAUGGGUGGGGUCACUGGGAUGGACGGCAUCAUUGGAUGAUGGGUGGGAUCGCUGGGAUCGAUGGCGCCACGGGGAUGGAUGGGAUCACUGGAUGAUGGAUGGGAUCACUGGGAUGGAGGGGAUCAUUGGAUGGUGGAUGGGAUCACUGGGAUGGAGGGGAUCAUUGGUGGGAUGGGUGGGAUCGCGGGGAUGGAUGGGAUCACCGAAUGGUGGGUGGGAUCGCUGGGAUCACUGGGAUGGGUGGGAUCACUGAACGAUGGGUGGGGUCACUGGGAUGGAUGGGAUCAUUGGUUGAUGGGUGGGAUCGCUUGGAUGGUUGGGAUCAUUGGUGUGAUGGGUGGGCUCGCUGGUGGCAUCAGUGGGGUCACUGAGGUGGUGGUGCUGAGAUGGAUGGGAUCAUUGAAUGAUAGGUGGGUCACUGGGAUGGAUGGGAUCACCGAAUGGUGGGUGGGAUUGCUGGGAUCACUGGGAUGGAUGGCAUCAUUGGGAUGGAUGGGAUCACCGAAUGGUGGGUGGGAUCGCUGGGAUCACUGGGAUGGAUGGGAUCACUGAAUGAUGGGUGGGGUCACUGGGAUGGAUGGCAUCAAUGGAUGAUGGGGGGGAUCACAGGGAUGGAUGGGAUCAUUGGAUGAUGGGGGGGAUCACAGGGAUGGAUGGGAUCAUUGGAUGAUGGAUGGGAUCACUGGGAAGGAUGGGAUCAUUGGUGGGAUGGGCGGGAUCACUGGUGGCAUCAGUGGGGUCACUGACGUGGUGGUGCUGGGAUGGAUGGGAUCACCGAAUGAUGGGUGGGAUCUCUGGGAUGGAUGGGAUCACUGGGAUGGAUGGGAUCACUGGGAUGGAUGGCAUCAUUGGAUAAUGGAUGGGAUCAUUGGGAUGGAUGGGAUCACUGGAAUGGAUGGGAUCACCGAAUGGUGAGUGGGAUCAGUGGGAUGGAUGAGAUCAUUGGGAUGGAUGGGAUCAUUGGCGGGAUCAGUGUGGUCACCGAGGUGGUGGUUAUGGGAUGGAUGGGAUCAUUGAAUGAUGGGUGGGAUCGCUGGGAUGGAUGGGAUCAUUGGGAUGGAUGGGAUCACCGAAUGGUUGGUGGGAUCGCUGGGAUCACUGGGAUGGGUGGGAACACUGAACGAUGGAUGGGGUCACUGGGAUGGAUGGCAUCAUUGGGAUGGAUGGGAUCACUGGGAUGGAUGGGAUCGUUGGUGGGAUGGGUGGGGUCACUGGUGGCAUCAGUGGGGUCACCGCGGUGGUGGUGCUGGGAUGGAUGGGAUCAUUGGAUGAUGGGUGGGGUCACUGGGAUGGAUGGCACCAUUGGAUGACGGAUGGGAUCAUUGGGAUGGAUGGGAUCACCGAAUGGUGGGUGGGAUCGCUGGGAUCACUGGGAUGGGUGGGGUCACUGAAUGAUGUGUGGGGUCACUGGGAUGGAUGGCAUCAUUGGAUGAUGGAUGGGAUCACUGGGAUGGAUGGGAUCACUGGGAUGGGUGGGAUCAGCGGUGGGAUGGGCGGGAUCACUGGUGGCAUCAGUGGGAUCACCGAGAUGGUGGUGCGGGGAUGGAUGGGAUCAUUGGAUGAUGGGUGGGGUCACUGGGAUGGAUGGCACCAUUGGAUGACGAAUGGGAUCAUUGGGAUGGAUGGGAUCACCGAAUGGUGGGUGGGAUCGCUGGGAUCACUGGGUGGGUGGGAUCACUGAAUG